GGGAGCGGUGUGAACCGAGAGGUUCACGCACCGUUCUGCGAGAGGCUCAGGGUGAAUUCCCCGGGCCUACUAACCAAC
rnacentral:ncRNA from 1 species